rnacentral:rRNA from 1 species
CAGUUGGAAACAGUUGCUAAGGCUGGAUAGGAAAUAAAAAGGCAUCUUUUUAUUUUUAAAAGACCUUCUUCGGAGGGUAUGCUUAAAGAGGGGCUUGCGUCACAUUAGUUAGUUGGUAGGGUAAUGGCCUACCAAGACGAUGAUGUGUAGCUGGACUGAGAGGUUGAACAGCCACAUUGGGACUGAGACACGGCCCAAACUCCUACGGGAGGCAGCAGUAGGGAAUUUUCGGCAAUGGAGGAAACUCUGACCGAGCAACGCCGCGUGAACGACGAAGUACUUCGGUAUGUAAAGUUCUUUUAUUGAAGAAGAAACAAUAGUGGAAAAACUAUCUUGACGUUAUUCAAUGAAUAAGCCCCGGCUAACUAUGUGCCAGCAGCCGCGGUAAUACAUAGGGGGCGAGCGUUAUCCGGAAUUAUUGGGCGUAAAGGGUGCGUAGGCGGUUUAAUAAGUCUCUAGUUUAAUUUCAACGCUUAACGUUGUCCUGCUAGAGAAACUGUUUGACUAGAGUGAGAUAGAGGUAAGCGGAAUUCCAUGUGUAGCGGUAAAAUGUGUAAAUAUAUGGAGGAACACCAGAGGCGUAGGCGGCUUACUGGGUCUUUACUGACGCUGAUGCACGAAAGCGUGGGGAGCAAACAGGAUUAGAUACCCUGGUAGUCCACGCCGUAAACUAUGAGUACUAAGUGUCGGGGUUAAACUCGGUACUGAAGUUAACACAUUAAGUACUCCGCCUGAGUAGUACGUACGCAAGUAUGAAACUUAAAGGAAUUGACGGGAUCCCGCACAAGCGGUGGAUCAUGUUGUUUAAUUCGAAGAUACACGAAAAACCUUACCAGGUCUUGACAUACUCUGCAAAACUAUAGAAAUAUAGUGGAGGUUAUCAGGGAUACAGGUGGUGCAUGGUUGUCGUCAGCUCGUGUCGUGAGAUGUUAGGUUAAGUUCUAAAACGAGCGCAACCCCUGUCGUUAAUUGCCAGCACGUUAUGGUGGGGACUUUAGCGAGACUGCCAAUGAAAAAUUGGAGGAAGGUGGGGAUUACGUCAAAUCAUCAUGCCCCUUAUGAUCUGGGCUACAAACGUGAUACAAUGGCUAUUACAAAGAGUGGCUUAAACGCGAGUUUUUGGCAAAUCUCAAAAAAAUAGUCUUAGUUCGGAUUGAAGUCUGCAACUCGACUUCAUGAAGUUGGAAUCGCUAGUAAUCGCGAAUCAGCAUGUCGCGGUGAAUACGUUCUCGGGGUUUGUACACACCGCCCGUCAAACCACGAAAGUGGACAAUACUCCCGAAAGCGAUAGCCUAACUGCAAGCAGAGGGAAUCGUCUAAGGUAGGGUCGAUGAUUGGGUUAAGU